rnacentral:rRNA from 1 species
CAGCAUGAAGGAUGCUUGCAUUCUUUGAUGGCGACCGGCGCACGGGUGAGUAACACGUAUCCAACCUGCCGAUGACUCGGGGAUAGCCUUUCGAAAGAAAGAUUAAUACCCGAUGGCAUAGUUCUUCCGCAUGGUGGAACUAUUAAAGAAUUUCGGUCAUCGAUGGGGAUGCGUUCCAUUAGGUAGUAGGCGGGGUAACGGCCCACCUAGCCUGCGAUGGAUAGGGGUUCUGAGAGGAAGGUCCCCCACAUUGGAACUGAGACACGGUCCAAACUCC